rnacentral:misc_RNA from 1 species
GGAAGGUGUGGAAGAAGCCUUGGAGAAUUUGAAGCAUUUGGAAGAAGAGUUAAAAGGAAAGAGGUUCUUUGGAGGGGAGGCCAUUGGGUUUGUGGAUAUUACGGUUGGGUGGCUUGCAAACAUAGCAAGUGUAGUGGAGGAAGUUGUUGGAGUUGAACUGAUAACUGAACAAAGGUUUCCCCUCUUGUCCAAAUGGAUAAAGGAAUUUGCUGCCUCUCCAAUCAUCAAUGAAAACUGGCCGCCUAGAGACAAGCUUGUCACUAAGUACCA